rnacentral:rRNA from 1 species
UUGAAUGUCUGGAAUUCCGAAGAGAUUUGGUAGUGCUCGCAAGAGAACCGGACCCAGGUGCUGCAUGGCUGUCGUCAGCUCGUGUCGUGAGAUGUUGGGUUAAGUCCCGCAACGAGCGCAACCCUUGUCAUUAGUUGCUACGAAAGGGCACUCUAAUGAGACUGCCGGUGACAAACCGGAGGAAGGUGGGGAUGACGUCAAGUCCUCAUGGCCCUUAUGGGUAGGGCUUCACACGUCAUACAAUGGUCGGGACAGAGGGUCGCCAACCCGCGAGGGGGAGCCAAUCCCAGAAACCCGAUCGUAGUCCGGAUCGCAGUCUGCAACUCGACUGCGUGAAGUCGGAAUCGCUAGUAAUCGCGGAUCAGAAUGUCUCGGUGAAUACGUUCCCGGGUCUUGUACACACCG